AGAAACUUGAGAGUUUGAUCCUGGCUCAGAACGAACGCUGGCGGCAUGCCUAACACAUGCAAGUCGAACGAGAU
rnacentral:rRNA from 1 species